AUACGUAGGGGGCGAGCGUUGUCCGGAAUGAUUGGGCGUAAAGGGCGCGUAGGCGGCCCGGUAAGUCUGGAGUGAAAGUCCUGUUUUUAAGAUGGGAAUUGCUUUGGAUACUGUCGGGCUUGAGUGCAGGAGAGGUAAGUGGAAUUCCCAGUGUAGCGGUGAAAUGCGUAGAGAUUGGGAGGAACACCAGUGGCGAAGGCGACUUACUGGACUGUAACUGACGCUGAGGCGCGAAAGUGUGGGGAGCAAACAGGAUUAGAUACCCUGGUAGUCCACACUGUAAACGAUGAAUGCUAGGUGUAGGGGGUAUCGACCCCUUCUGUGCCGCAGUCAACACAAUAAGUAAUCCACCUGGGGAGUACGGCCGCAAGGUUGAAACUCAAAUGAAUUGACGGGG
rnacentral:rRNA from 1 species